rnacentral:lncRNA from 1 species
CUGAAGUUUUCAUCAACUCAAUCGAUUGAGAAAUCGAUGGAAGAUUUGGAAAAUCUUUUAAAGAAUCGAUUGGAUAAUCGAUUGUUUGGUUCUGACAUCCACAAAUUUGAGAAGUUUUCAAACCUCAAACCCGAGCAUUGAUUGGAUCAACUUUGUUUUGGACCUGCACUUAUGUGAGUCGAUUUGGAAAUCGAUGCUGAGAUUUGAAGUUUUCUGAACUUACAAGGAAAUCGAUUUGGAUAUCGUUUUAGUAAAGAAGGAUCAAUUACGAAAUCGAUUUGGAAAUCGAUUUACAAGACGUCAGUUGAGAAAAAUUAUAGCCGUUGGAAGUGGGUGUAACAGAUACUUUUUUAUUU